CAGUCGCCGCGGGAAUACGUAGGUCCCAAGCGUUGUCCGGAUUUAUUGGGCGUAAAGCGAGCGCAGGCGGUUAGAUAAGUCUGAAGUGAAAGGCAGUGGCUCAACCAUUGUAGGCUUUGGAAACUGUUUAACUUGAGUGCAGAAGGGGAGAGUGGAAUUCCAUGUGUAGCGGUGAAAUGCGUAGAUAUAUGGAGGAACACCGGUGGCGAAAGCGGCUCUCUGGUCUGUAACUGACGCUGAGGCUCGAAAGCGUGGGGAGCGAACAGGAUUAGAUACCCGAGUAGUCCCUGUCUCUUAUACC
rnacentral:rRNA from 1 species